rnacentral:lncRNA from 1 species
GAGCUCUUCAAAAUUCGAAAGAAUGCUGCAGAUCCAAACCACAAUUUACAUAUCCACCCUUCCUGUGUCAAAAUUAUACAAUAAAUAUACAACUUUUUAUGUCUUCAAUUAGUAAGUAUUGUUUAAAUUAUGUCCUAAAUUGUUCAUUUUAUUAAAUCCGUUGAAUUGUCACACUCGCAGUUUUCUGACGUUUUGGCGUAUUUGUAAAGUGUCUUAUGAAAAGUAAUAGGCAGUUGCAGUCUUUUCUACGAUAUGAAAUUUUAUUCAAACGUGAAAACUUUUUUUUUAAGUGUAUGAAAAAAAAUUGUGUCGAAGUUUUAAAAGAAAAUAUUGAAAGAAAAAAUAAACGCG